rnacentral:rRNA from 1 species
GCCCCACUUGUGGUCGGUUUACAGGUGGUGCAUGGUUGUCGUCAGCUCGUGUCGUGAGAUGUUGGGUUAAGUCCCGCAACGAGCGCAACCCUCGUUCUAUGUUGCCAGCACGUGAUGGUGGGGACUCAUAGGANACUGCCGGGGUCAACUCGGAGGAAGGNGGGGACGACGUCNAAUCAUCAUGCCCCUUAUGUCUUGGGCUUCACGCAUGCUACAAUGGCCGGUACAAAGGGUUGCGAUACUGUGAGGUGGAGCUAAUCCCAAAAAGCCGGUCUCAGUUCGGAUUGGGGUCUGCAACUCGACCCCAUGAAGUCGGAGUCGCUAGUAAUCGCAGA